rnacentral:rRNA from 1 species
CCUACGGGAGGCAGCAGUCGAGAAUCAUUCACAAUGGGGGAAACCCUGAUGGUGCGACGCCGCGUGGGGGAAUGAAGUUCUUCGGAUUGUAAACCCCUGUCAUGUGGGAGCAAAUUAAAAAGAUAGUACCACAAGAGGAAGAGACGGCUAACUCUGUGCCAGCAGCCGCGGUAAUACAGAGGUCUCAAGCGUUGUUCGGAAUCACUGGGCGUAAAGCGUGCGUAGGCUGUUUCGUAAGUCGUGUGUGAAAGGCGCGGGCUCAACCCGCGGACGGCACAUGAUACUGCGAGACUAGAGUAAGGGAGGGGGAACCGGAAUUCUCGGUGUAGCAGUGAAAUGCGUAGAUAUCGAGAGGAACACUCGUGGCGAAGGCGGGUGCCUGGACAUUAACUGACGCUGAGGCACGAAGGCCAGGGGAGCGAAAGGGAUUAGAUACCCUUGUAGUC